rfam:Loxodonta africana unplaced genomic scaffold scaffold_311, whole genome shotgun sequence.
UGGGAUGUAGCUCAGUGGUAGAGCGCACGGUGUGCGUGUAUGAGGCCUUGGGUUCGAUCCCUGGCAUCUCCA